UGGGGAAUCUUGCGCAAUGGGCGAAAGCCUGACGCAGCAACGCCGCGUGGGGGAUGAAGGCUCUCGGGUUGUAAACCCCUUUCAGCAGGGACGAAUCAAGACGGUACCUGCAGAAGAAGCCCCGGCUAACUACGUGCCAGCAGCCGCGGUAACACGUAGGGGGCAAGCGUUGUCCGGAUUUAUUGGGCGUAAAGAGCUCGUAGGUGGCUGAGUAAGUCGGAUGUUAAAUCCCCAGGCUCAACCUGGGACACCACCCGAUACUGCUCUGGCUAGAGUCCGGUAGGGGAGCGUGGAAUUCCUGGUGUAGCGGUGAAAUGCGCAGAUAUCAGGAGGAACACCAGCGGCGAAGGCGGCGCUCUGGGCCGGUACUGACACUGAGGAGCGAAAGCGUGGGUAGCAAACAGG
rnacentral:rRNA from 2 species